rnacentral:rRNA from 1 species
UACGGAGGGUGCAAGCGUUAAUCGGAAUUACUGGGCGUAAAGCGCUCGUAGGCGGUUUGUCGCGUCUGCCGUGAAAGUCCGGGGCUCAACUCCGGAUCUGCGGUGGGUACGGGCAGACUAGAGUGAUGUAGGGGAGGACUGGAAUUCCUGGUGUAGCGGUGAAAUGCGCAGAUAUCAGGAGGAACACCGAUGGCGAAGGCAGGUCUCUGGGCAUUAACUGACGCUGAGGAGCGAAAGCAUGGGGGAGCGAACAGG